AACGAACGCUGGCGGCGUGCCUAACACAUGCAAGUCGAGCGAGAAAGCCCGCAAGGGUGAGUACAGCGGCGCACGGGUGCGUAACACGUGGGUAAUCUGCCCUGAAGCUCGGAAUAACCUCCCGAAAGGGAAGCUAAUGCCGGAUAAGCCCACGGGGUCCUUGGACCUCGAGGGAAAAGGUGGCCUCUGCAUGCAAGCUAUCACUUCAGGAUGAGCCCGCGGCCCAUCAGCUAGUUGGCGGGGUAAUGGCCCACCAAGGCUACGACGGGUAGCUGGUCUGAGAGGACGAUCAGCCACACUGGAACUGAGACACGGUCCAGACUCCUACGGGAGGCAG
rnacentral:rRNA from 1 species